rnacentral:rRNA from 1 species
GACGAACGCUGGCGGCGUGCCUAAUACAUGCAAGUCGAGCGGACCGAACAGGAGCUUGCUCUUGUUCGGUUAGCGGCGGACGGGUGAGUAACACGUGGGUAACCUGCCCGUAAGACCGGGAUAACUCCGGGAAACCGGAGCUAAUACCGGAUAACACCGAAGACCGCAUGGUCUUUGGUUGAAAGGCGGCUUCGGCUGCCACUUACGGAUGGGCCCGCGGCGCAUUAGCUAGUUGGUGAGGUAACGGCUCACCAAGGCGACGAUGCGUAGCCGGCCUGAGAGGGUGACCGGCCACACUGGGACUGGGACACGGCCCAGACUCCUACGGGAGGCAGCAGUAGGGAAUCUUCCGCAAUGGACGAAAGUCUGACGGAGCGACGCCGCGUGAGCGAAGAAGGUCUUCGGAUCGUAAAGCUCUGUUGUUAGGGAAGAAGAAGCGUCGUUCGAACAGGGCGGCGCGGUGACGGUACCUAACGAGAAAGCCCCGGCUAACUACGUG